AGGAUAUGCCUUAUGUCUUUGCGACUGCUGGCAGCUAAUUUAUAUUUUCAUAUUGUCCUUUAGCCAGGAUCUACUACAUUCUUCUUUCUUUCUUCCUUUGGAUUAUCAUUAGUUUUACUCAAUAAUGCUUAUGGAAACUGCUACACAAACACCUCCGGAGAUGAAGGUGAACUGGGCUACGUCUCCUAGUAAUCAGCCAAAACAAGACACAAGCAAACACUUCCAUAUAUUUGUUGGUGAUUUAAGUCCAGAUAUUGAAACUCAUCAACUACGGGAUGCCUUUAAAGCUUUUGGAGAAAUAUCAGAUUGUAAAAUCAUUCGGGAUCCGCAAACCCUGAAAUCAAAGGGAUAUGGUUUUGUUUCUUUUGUUAACAAAGUGGAUGCUGAAACUGCAAUAAACACCAUGAAUGGACAGUGGCUGGGCAGUAGGCCAAUCAGGACAAAUUGGGCCACUCGGAAGCCGCCUGCUCCAAGUCAAAAAGACAAUACAAAGCAGCUAUCUUAUGAAGAAGUAUACAACCAGUCCAGUCCCACCAACUGUACAGUCUACUGCGGUGGUAUCUCUCAGGGUCUUACAGAGGAGCUGAUGAGGAAGACUUUCAAUUCAUAUGGAGUAAUUCAUGAAAUUCGUGUUUUCAAAGAUAAAGGUUAUGCAUUCAUUCGAUUUUCUUCAAAGGAAUCUGCUGCUCAAGCAAUUUGUGGUGUUCAUGGCAAUGUGAUUGCAGAUCAACCUGUGAAGUGUUCCUGGGGUAAAGAAUCUAAUGAUCCUAACCAAAGCAGUCAGCCAACUGUCACUAAUGAGCAACAGCAACCUUUCUCCUCCCCUUCAGCCUAUGGUCAGUUUUAUGGUAACAUGGGUUAUUGGGGCUAUCCAUAUCAAAAUAUGGCCCAGAGCAGCUAUGUUCAAGGAGGAAUGAAUCAAUGGGCAGGUUAUAACUACCAAGCAUAUGCUGGGAUGAAUGUCCCCGCAAUGCAACAAUGGGGCCAAAUUCCCCUGCAGCCUGGCCAGCAACAGCAGCAAUUUAAUGGUCAGCAGCAAACUAUGCUUGGUUAUCCUCUGCAGCAGGGGGUGAUAUCUCAUCCCCUUUUCAUCCCAUGAUUGCAAGCAUUCUGGCAUCAUGCCCUCAGGCGCUGAGGUAAAAUGGCUGACAGCAGAUAUGAAGAUGCUGGACUAAAAUGAAACCUUCAUCAACAGGCUACCCACAAGCUCCGUACUAAGUGCAGACCUUGUCGGCCCUAACUGCGAUUAUGUAUCCACAACUGCAGCAGGGAACACAAGAAAUAUUCGGUUCACCUUAUAACUGCAGAAAUCCUGUACAUAGCACUAUUAAUGUAGCCAUAUAGCUAGAAAUAUAUAGAUUACAGAUAAAAAAAAAAAAAAAUCCUAAAAAAAGAUUUAAAAAAAAACAAAAAAACACAAAAAACUAAAAAAAAAAUCAAGAAAACAAUACUAAAAUAGUCAUCAGUUUUCAUAAUGAUGAUAAUGACUGAUAAUGGUUAAAUAUAAUAAUAAUAAUAAUAAUAAUAAUAUAACAAUAAUAAUAAUAAUAAUGAUGAUAAUAAUAUUAUUAAUAAUGAUAAUAAUGGUGGUGGUAGGAAUGGUGGCAAACAGGAAAAAGCUUCUUUCCUUGCAGUAAAAUAAAAAAAAAAAGAACAAAAAGAAACAAAGAAAAAAAAAACAACAAUUUACUCAAAUGGAAUAUAUAUAUGUAUGUGUAUAUAUAUAUAUAUAUAUAUAUAUGUGUGUAUGUAUGUAUCUAUAUAUAUAUAUGUAUAUAUAUAUAUAAUAUUACCAUUUUGGUGUGAAAUGCACAAAUGUAAUGAUUUUUGACUCUGGAUGAAUGAAUGAUGAACAUAAUUUGAAAACUUCCCCUUUCCCUCUACUUUUUUAUUUGAUUUAGUCUUUAUUUUAACAGUUCGUGGGGACCCGUGGUUAUACUUUGAUACAAUCUUAUCAGAAGUGGAGGAAGUUUUAUAUAUAUAUAUAUAUAUAUAUAUAUAUAUAUAUAUGUGUGUGUGUAUGUAUGUGAAUACAUGUAUACAUGCGCACAUAUAUAUUACAUGUGUAUGCAUGUAGAUUAUACACCUUCACACACAUACAGUCUGUGUGUGUGUGUGUGUGUAUUUAAUGUAUAUAUAUGUGUGUGCGUAUACAGUUGUGUGUGUGUGUAUGUUUAUACAAAAUAGUGCAACUAAGGAUCUGUUUUUUAGCUGGCUGGGCAGUUGGGUGGUUGGGUGGUUUAUACCUAAAGAAUAAGCUUAAAAAAAUGUAUUCUGAAUCUUUUUCAACUCUGUACCCGUGUUUAAUGAAUAUGGGAUAUUAUUUUAAAAUCUUCUCUCCUUUUUCUGUGGUGUGCAUGUGCGUGCGUGCGUCUGUCUCUCUCUCUCUCUAAGUUCAUGAAGUUUGGCCAUGAUACAUUUAUUAGCAUUUUAUGUAUCUCACCACCCCCCUCCUUUACAGCAGAUGAAAUAUUCGUUCUUUCUCCCACAUCCAGUUUUCUGUUUUAAACUAGUUUCCCCCUUAUUUAAUAAUUCAUUUUGAAAAAGUUAAAAAUUUUUGCAUAAAAAGGAUUAAAAAAAAAGCCCAAGUUGUUGAUUGCAAAGUCUAUUUUGAUAAGCCCAUUUCAUAAAUUGCGAAGUAGUUCUCUAAAGAGCAGCUGCCUAUAAAAUAUCUGGCUGGUUCCUUUCCAUUGUUAUUAAUUACUAGUAGACUUCUCAAACCUAUCCGACUUCCCGCAAACUUAUCUAAGGUCUUUUAGACACCUAUAAGGUACUGUUAAAUGUUUUAUUACUUUCAGUUAUAUACAUCUAUGUAAUGUCCCCUUCUCUUAGCUUUCAUUAAAUUGCCAUCAUUGCAUUUAAAAAAAAAAAUUUUUUUUGUUAUAGUGAUGUCACUCGCUGUGAUCCAAAUGUAAAUAUUUCCAAUUGAGUUGCUUGUACAUUUGGUUGUCUUUACUCAAUUCUCUGUAUUAAUUUGAUCCCUGUUAGUCGUAAUGUAGAAAGUUGAGUAUUUUUUAGUUUUAUAAGUUUUCCUUUUUUUUUUUUUCGUUUUAGUUUGGCAAUUUGUAAGUGACCAGAAGUGAAAAAGUGUACAUAAAUAUCUCAAAAGCAGCACUAACAGUUAAUUUUCCAGAUUCUCUAUGUUGUAUGUGUGAUGAUUUGGCCUUACUGGCUCCUUCGUUUUUUGUUUUUUUUUCUUUUAUAGUGUCCCUCCCUCUCUUAGGAAAAAAGUUCCACUCCCUAACCCCUUUCUUAAAAAAAAAAAAAAUAUCAUAGCUAAUAAUUGUCAUGGCCACAACAUGGUCUUGCAUUGGAAUUCUGCUUCUAUUUUCUCCUGUUUCCUUUUUGAUGUUACUUGGGUUCUGAUUCUGUUAGCAAAUAUUUAGUAGGUAUUGCAUGAUAGAAAUGUGUGUGUAUGUGUGUGUGUAUGCUUUCAUACCUGUAUUCACUGAUCACCUGUCAGCUCAGUCAUUCCACACCUUAGAUAAAGGGGAUUGUUGAUUGUUCUCAUAUUCCUAAUAUUUAUUGAUGACAGUCAAGUCUUUUUCCUUGACAAGAGUUGUAUAUGCAAAAAUAUGGUAAAACUGUAUCGCUCCUAGUGUCCUAAAAAGAAAAAAAAAGAAAAAAACUUUCCCCUCCUCUUCUCAUGAUUUGAUUAAUGCUAAAUAUGAAGUUAACUGAAUAUCACUUUUCCUCUAAGAAAAACAUUUUCAGAACCCUGGUACAUAAAUUGAAUUUCAUCUUCCUUGAGAAUGCUCUAUGCAAUGUUUUGUAUAUUUAAUCGUUGGAUUCUAAAUAGCAUUUGGAACGUAGCUAGCUAAGUUAAUCUUGGUAACAUUUGCCAUGUAAUAUUAUUUUGACGGUAACUUAUAUAUUUUAUUUAUUUUAAAAAGGGAAUUUUUUUUUGAUAGUGUUGAAAAACCUUAUAAGAAAGAAAAAAAAAAGUGGGUCAAAUAUAUUUUUUAAUAGUUUUCUCUUGUGUGUGGAAGGAUAUAUAAUUAUUGCAGCCGUUUGUCCAGUUUUAAAAACUGCAACUUUCGAGGUUUGUGAUCUUAGCAAAAGCAAACGUCCGUGAUACUGACAGAAUAACUAACUAAAAAAGGUUUGCAGUUAAACUAUUGCACUUAGGGGUGAUUUUGUAAGGGUGGACCAGCUGACUGCUGUAAUUUGAGAGCAUCAUUUUUUGUUAACUGAAUUAAGCAAAGAGUAAGCUUAUCCAGUCUGUAGAAGAAUAUUAGAUGUGACAAAAAAAAAAGUUAAAAUGAAAUAAAAAAAAGGAAUAAAACAAACUUUAUAUUUGUACUUGGUGUCCAUUAUUAUUUUAGUUUGGAACAUAUCCCCUUCACUUAGAGAAUUCAGUUGUUUAGAAUAUUUUCUUAGUUGCUCAGUUUUGGCAGGCAGAGAGAAGCUCCAUUUCAAUGUCAGCUUUGGACACGUCUUUGAGAUGGUUUUUUCCUGUUAAAUUCUGACGUAGUGCUUAGGAGCCCAGUUUUAAGAUUGUGCCAACAGUAUAAGGUGAUACUUGCAUGCUCAUGAACGGCUACUCAGAAGCCCUAACAAAGAUGACAGAUAACAUACCUCACUUAUUUCCAUCCAUUUUAUUAAAUUGUUCUUCAGUGCUUGUAAUACAAGUUAAACAAUGAAAAAAAACAAAAACAAAAAGAAAUUAUAAAAAGCCAAUAAAAAAAAAUAAAAUAAAUAAAAAUGCAACUAUGAAACACUAAAUAAAUUCAGUAAAAUGCAGGGGAGGGGGUAGAAAGAAUUGUAUCUCCUUUUUAAAGAGUUUUGUGCGAUUUUAACAUGUAUACGUAAGCCUUUUAAACCUUAAGUGAUAUUAUGAGUGGUGAGGGAGUAAGAAAGCAAAAAUAAACUGCAGCAGAUAUGAACUGAAAAUACGUUUAGCGUGUCUGCCUUCUACAGCAGCGCACUAAGUAUUAAUAGAUACAUUUGAAGAAGAAGAAUGACUGUUGUUAUAUACUUUUAUGUUGAUGCUUCUCAAAACUUGUAAAAAAAACAAACAGCUCAGUGAUUAACCGAUCUUCACUGAACAGUAUUUGUUGUGGGAGCAACCAGAUUUUGCUGCUGUAUGACUAUUUCAUAUAUUGGGUUCUCUCAUUGCUAAUUUCGUCUAUUUUGUUGAGCUUAUUUCUGUCCCACGUCCGCCCCCAAAUUCCUUUCCUCUCCCUUCCCUUGCCAUUAUUAUUAUUAUUAUUAUUAUUAUUACUAUUACUAUUAUUAUUAUUAUUAUUAGAAAGCAUAUUCAUUGUAUAUAUGUAUAUAUCUAACCUUUUGUAAUCGCUAGAUAUGCAAAUACAUGUUUAUACAUACAUGCAAAUAUACACACACACACACACGCACGUACAUAUACAUGUGUAUGUAUGUAUAUAUAUAUAUAUGUAUAUAUAUAUAUAUAUAUAUAUAUGUAUGUGUGUAUGAUUGGAGAUAUUUUAUUGGCCAUUUUUCUGUUGGUUGCUUUGAUUCGUUGCUAGGAGAGUGUGGGAGGGUCAGGGGACUUCCUCCGGUAGUUGGAGGUACAAAAUGGUCCUGCUACCAAGUAGUUGUGUUGAGAGUGCAAGUUUCUCGUUGAGUUAUUUUGGAACUUGAACUAAUUCCAUCCAAAGGGAACAAAACUGUAAACGUAUAAAUUUCUUUGUAUGAUCCUUUUGAGUAUAUGUAAUCUGGCACAUGGACAUUUUAAUCAAAGAAGAAAUGGAAAAAAAAAAACCAAAAAUGAAUGGAAAAAAAAAUAAUAUAUAUAUGUAUACUACAAAAAAAAAAGGAAAAAAAAAACAAAAACAAAAAGAAACCACCCCUCCCCCCAGAAAAUUUUGAAUUUAUUCAACUUGGAUGUAAUUUCAAGCAAUAGAACUUGCUUCUCUGUCCAGCUUUCAAAUUAACUAUUGAAAGAAAAUGAACAUAAAUUUUUCACUCUGCUCAAGACGCCGUUUUCUCGCCCUACCCCCCUUUUCUUUAUGAUAUCUUGGUCAUUCCACAUUAUCGUUGAUUUUUUUUUUGACCGUUUUGUUCCUGUCUGAAGAAAGAAUGAACACGCAUGCAUAUAUAUAUAUAUAUAUAUAUAUAAUAUAUAUAUAUAUCUACGUGUGUGUAUGUGUUAUAUGUAUAAUUGUGUGUGUGUAUGAACAUUUCUUUUAUUGAAUGAGCGCUUGGUUACACUCUUGUAUUAGGUGUGCGGAGUUGUUUUAUGCGGUAUCUAGGGCUACAACCAAAAGCCAUGCCUAAGGUCUCGUGCAACCAGCCUUGUUUUACCGACUGAGUUUAGCCAGUGGGUUGAAUGGAAUGGGUAAUUGCUUGUAUUCCUAUCUAUUGCAUGCACGAAUACGUAUGUUUGUGAGUAUAUAUAUAUAUAUGUAUGUAUAUGUGUAUAUUAAGUAUGAAUGAUUUUUCAUUGCUAUCUCGGAAGAACAGUUAGAAAGUUAUAAACCCUUUUUGAGAGAGAGAGUGUGUGUGUGUGUGUGUGUGUGUGUGUGUGUGUAGCAUUUCGUGGGAUUAAAAGAUAUUCAGAAAAAAAAAAAAGUCCCCUCCCCUCCAGAAAGACUGGCCACUUUGAUGCCUACUGUUGGUUGGCUAAAAAAAAAAACAAAAGAAAAACAACAAAAAAACCCAAAAAACAUACAAA
rnacentral:misc_RNA from 1 species